rnacentral:rRNA from 1 species
AAAUAAUCCAUUAGUGACGGACAUCCCGCGUCGAGGGUGAAGGUCCCGGGCCGAGCCCCUCCCAUAGGGAAAGAAAAUGACGGUCCCGAGGAAAAGCACCGGCUAACCCCGUGUCAGCAGUCGCGGUAAUACGGAGGAGGCAAGCGUCAUCCGGAAUGAUCGGGCGUAAAGCGUUCGCAGGUGGCUAUGUAAGUCUGCUGUUAAAGAGUGAGGCUCAACCUCAUAAGAGCAGUGGAAACUACAUAGCUAGAGUGCGUUCGGGGCAGAGGGAAUUCCUGGUGUAGCGGUGAAAUGCGUAGAGAUCAGGAAGAACACCGGUGGCGAAAGCGCUCUGCUAGGCCGCAACUGACACUGAGGGACGAAAGCUAGGGGAGCGAAAGGGAUUAAC